rnacentral:rRNA from 1 species
GAUGAACGCUGGCGGCGUGCCUAAUACAUGCAAGUCGAGCGAACAGACGAGGAGCUUGCUCCUCUGACGUUAGCGGCGGACGGGUGAGUAACACGUGGAUAACCUACCUAUAAGACUGGGAUAACUUCGGGAAACCGGAGCUAAUACCGGAUAAUAUAUUGAACCGCAUGGUUCAAUAGUGAAAGACGGUUUUGCUGUCACUUAUAGAUGGAUCCGCGCCGCAUUAGCUAGUUGGUAAGGUAACGGCUUACCAAGGCAACGAUGCGUAGCCGACCUGAGAGGGUGAUCGGCCACACUGGAGCUGAGACGCGGUCCAGACUCCUACGGGAGGCAGCAGUAGGGAAUCUUCCGCAAUGGGCGAGAGCCUGACGGAGCAACGCCGCGUGAGUGAUGAAGGUCUUCGGAUCGUAAAACUCUGUUAUUAGGGAAGAACAAAUGUGUAAGUAACUAUGCACGUCUUGACGGUACCUAAUCAGAAAGCCACGGCUAACUACGUG